UACGUAGGUGGCAAGCGUUGUCCGGAUUUACUGGGCGUAAAGAGCGCGCAGGCGGCUGGUCAAGUCCGAUGUGAAAUCUCCCGGCUUAACUGGGAAACUGCAUCGGAAACUGGAUGGCUUGGAUUCGGGAGAGGAAUGCGGAAUUCCAGGUGUAGCGGUGAAAUGCGUAGAUAUCUGGAGGAACACCGGUGGCGAAGGCGGCAUUCUGGACCGAUAUUGACGCUGAGGAGCGAAAGCCAGGGGAGCAAACGGG
rnacentral:rRNA from 1 species